AACGGAGUGCGCGCUAUUGGGGCUCAAGUGGUCACGUGCAGCUCGUCGGGCGCGCGCACAUAGGACUUCCCAGACCUGUUACUGUCUGCAGUCUGCCUUCCUCAUAAAACGUUUUUGCAAAUGGAUGUAUUAGGUUGGGUUACUAAACACACUUACCCGUGCGGAAGCACCUAGCACGUCACCAGCAGCCCUCGGCAAAACUUUUUUUGUCGCUUUUAGUCGUUUGGCAUCACUGUGGAUUUCGAGAGGCAACUUUUCUUUUGGACUUGACACAAGAUGAGCGACAAGACUCUGCAAGGGAUGUGAACCCAUUGCUUUUUUUUCUUUGAAGUCUUGCUGAAAUGAGAAUCUACUUCAAGAAGUCCAUUCUGAUAGUAGGCUUCACUUCCUUGCUCUUCAUCCUGUUUGUUGUACUAAUCUCAAAGAGUGAAGACGAUGGUACCACUAAAGCAGAAAAACUUUUGUCAAGAGAGAUUUCCUUGCAGCAGAUUAAUUCAGGACAAAACCUGCAAAACUUCAAAGAUCUAUGGCAGUCCUACUCCUACAAUGUUUCAUACGACUUCCUGGCUGGAUUUCCUGUCCAGAAACAGAAGUACCUUGCAAUUGGUCUCUCAUCGGUCAAAAGAAAACGAGGCAAUUAUGUUCUCGAAACUCUCAAAUCCAUUUUUGAGAAAUCAACAGAUGAGGAACUGCAAGAGAUGGUUGUUGUGGUCCACCUCGCAGACUUCGAUAAAGCUUGGAAUAUGAAAGUAGCAAUGGAUAUUUCCACAAAGUUUGCACGCCGUAUUCUUUCCGGACAUCUGCUCAUCAUCCAUGCGCCCCAGGAGCAUUAUCCUCCUUUGGAAGGUCUGAAGCGGAACUUCAAUGACGCAGAGAACCGUGUGACGUUCCGCUCCAAGCAGAAUGUGGACUAUGCUUUCCUGCUUAACUUCUGUGCCAAUUUGUCUAGCUACUACCUUAUGAUCGAGGAUGAUGUUAAGUGUUCCAAGUCUUUCUUUACCAUUAUCAAAAAAUCCAUUGCAUCUAGAAAGGGGACCUACUGGGUCACUCUGGAAUUUUCCAAGCUAGGAUACAUUGGUAAGCUUUAUCAUUCUAGUGACUUACCAAGACUUGCUCAGUUUCUUCUCCUGUUCUAUCAAGAGAUGCCCUGUGACUGGUUAUUAGGUCACUUUCAAAAUCUUUUAGCUCAAAAGGAUGUGAUUCGCUUCAAGCCCUCUUUAUUUCAACACACUGGAUAUUAUUCCUCCUUCCUGGGCACAGCCAAUCUUUUAAAGGAUGAUGAUUUUGAGGAGGACCCCUUUGAUAUCCCUGAUAACCCACCUGCCACUAUUUUCACUGACAUCAAUACAUUUGAAUCUUACUAUCCUAAAAAAGCUUAUAGCAACAUGGAUGAAUACUUCUGGGGCAAGUCGCCAUCUGCUGGAAAUUAUUUCACUAUAAUAUUCAACAGACCUGUAGUAUUAAACAAGCUCCAUAUCCACACAGGCACUGAUGAACGCAAAGGGGAUGCCUUACAGUUUGGUGAUGUGGAGUUAGGAAGUCAACUUGGCAAAUCAAGAAACCGAUUGGAGUGUUCCAGUUACAAUAAAAUUGGGAGUUUUGUCGAUGGACGCUUUCAGAAAGAUGACAUCUAUAAAAGUUAUGACAGUCCUGUGUCUUGCGUGAAAAUUGUGAUAACUAAAAGUCAAAGCAAAUGGCUUAUUAUUCAGAAUAUUAGUAUAUGGACAAAGCAACUUUUAAAAUAAGAAAACUGUUUUAAAUAUUAUUUUUGUCAAAGGAGAAUUGUAUUAUUAGGGCAGCACAAUGGUUACCCCUGCUGCCUCAUGGGUCCAAUAUCCUGAGUUUUGAAGCCUGUGGCCAGUUGCUGGCUCUAUGAAGUUUGCAUGCUCUUUCAAGGACUGUCGGCCACUUCCUGGGCACAGCCACACUCUUAAAGGACGACUGUAUCCCUGGUCUUUCUUCUGGACAAUUCACCUUUAUUCUACUCCAUCUGGACAAAAAUAAUUGACCAAAGUUUAUCAUCUUUAACCAAACUGGAGUGUGUGCUGUCAGAGAUUCUCAAACUCACUUAACUCAAUUCAAUGCAGUAGGAGCUCAAGCUGUAAGGGCAUAAGGCUGGAAGUAGCCCUGGAAAAGGCGGACAAGUUUUUUAUUCUCCUUCAGAAUUCUGGUAAUUUUUGUUUUAAUUUGAAAAUGUUCUAUUGUUUGAUAAAAAGAUCUGUGAUCCCUGCUAUAAAGAUACAGAUGUAAAAGUCAUCACCAAAAUCUGGGCAAUUAAAGCGCCUGACUUUCA